AUUGAACGCUGGCGGCAUGCCUUACACAUGCAAGUCGAACGCGAAAGCGGGGCAACCCGCAAGUAGAGUGGCGAACGGGUGAGUAAUACAUCGGAACGUACCCAGUAGCGGGGGAUAACCUCUCGAAAGAGAAGCUAAUACCGCAUACGACCUAUGGGUGAAAGCGGGGGAGUCGCAAGACCUCGCACUAUUGGAGCGGCCGAUGUCGGAUUAGCUAGUUGGCGGGGUAACGGCCCACCAAGGCGACGAUCCGUAGCUGGUCUGAGAGGACGACCAGCCACACUGGAACUGAGACACGGUCCAGACUCCUACGGGAGGCAGCAGUGGGGAAGUUUUGGACAAUGGGCGGCAAGCCUGAUCCAGCCAUGCCGCGUGAGUG
rnacentral:rRNA from 1 species